AUUUGAUUCCUACGUACCCUUUAGUUUUUCACCAUCUUAUUCACCUAUUUUUAAUGUCAGAUUUCACAUGAAUCCUUCUCCUACACUACCCUACAAACAAGGGUCAUAGCGUCCUCUUCUUGUACAGCUGAGGAAAAUAUGAUAUAAUAUAAUAAAUAGUAGAGAUUCAUUCAUCGAUUGUUGAAGAAGCUCCUGAAUUGUAGCUCAGAAGAUUCCAAUUAUCAAUACACCUGUUUGUUUUCAUCUUCUUGUUCUCUUGUGCUCACCUUGUCGUUCUUUUAGAUUCCAAUCCCCUCUCUCUUGCAUUAUUUCAAUGUUUGCUUCAUCCUCAA
rnacentral:lncRNA from 1 species